UACAGAGGGGGCAAGCGUUGUUCGGAAUUACUGGGCGUAAAGCGUGCGCAGGCGGUUCGCUGUGUCCGAUGUGAAAGCCCCGGGCUUAACCUGGGAAUGGCAUUGGAAACUGGCGGGCUUGAGUGUGGCAGAGGGGGGUGGAAUUCCGCGUGUAGCAGUGAAAUGCGUAGAGAUGCGGAGGAGCACCGAUGGCGAAGGCAGCCCCCUGGGCUAACACUGACGCUCAGGCACGAAAGCGUGGGGAGCAAACAGG
rnacentral:rRNA from 1 species